UACGAAGGGUGCAAACGUUGCUCGGAAUUAUUGGGCGUAAAGCGCACGUAGGCGGCUUAGCAAGUCGGAAGUGAAUACCUCCGUCGCACAACGAAGGAGUUGACUUCGAACUGCUGCUUGAGUACUUAAGAGGAUCGCGGAAUUCCCGGUGUAGAGGUGAAAUUCGUAGAUAUCGGGAGGAACACCAGUGGCGAAGGCGGCGAUCUGGGAAGAUACUGACGCUGAGGUGCGAAAGCGUGGGGAGCAAACAGG
rnacentral:rRNA from 1 species